rnacentral:misc_RNA from 1 species
GAUGAAGAACGUAGCGAAAUGCGAUACGUAAUGUGAAUUGCAGAAUUCAGUGAAUCAUCGAAUCUUUGAACGCAUAUUGCGCUCUCUGGUAUUCCGGAGAGCAUGCUUGUUUGAGUAUCAGUAAACACCUCAACUUCCAUAUCUUUUUUGAAAUGGGAGUUGGACUUGAGUGAUCCCAACGCUUUUCCUCACCGAAAAGUGGCGGGUUACUUGAAAUGCAGGUGCAGCUGGACUUUUCUCUGAGCUAUAAGCAUAUCUAUUUAGUCUGCCUAAAAAACAGAUUAUUACCUUUGCUGCAGCUAACAUAAAGGAGAUUAGUUCUUGUGCUGACUGAUGCAGGAUUCACAAAGACAGCUUCGGCCGACUUUGUAAACUCGAUCUCAAAUCAAGUAAGACUACCCGCUGAACUUAAGCAUAUCAAUAGCGGAGGA